UGGCGGACGGGUGAGUAACGCGUGGGUAACGUUCCUUGUACUGGGGGACAACAGUUAGAAAUGACUGCUAAUACCGCAUAAGCGCACAGUAUCGCAUGAUACAGUGUGAAAAACUCCGGUGGUACAAGAUGGACCCGCGUCUGAUUAGCUAGUUGGUAAGGUAACGGCUUACCAAGGCGACGAUCAGUAGCCGACCUGAGAGGGUGACCGGCCACAUUGGGACUGAGACACGGCCCAA
rnacentral:rRNA from 1 species